rnacentral:rRNA from 2 species
GUGGACGCCAGUCUGCAUGGAGCCGACCUUGAAAUACCACCCUUUAAUGUUUGAUGUUCUAACGUGGACCCGUGAUCCGGGUUGCGGACAGUGUCUGGUGGGUAGUUUGACUGGGGCGGUCUCCUCCUAAAGAGUAACGGAGGAGCACGAAGGUUGGCUAAUCCUGGUCGGACAUCAGGAGGUUAGUGCAAUGGCAUAAGCCAGCUUGACUGCGAGCGUGACGGCGCGAGCAGGUGCGAAAGCAGGUCAUAGUGAUCCGGUGGUUCUGAAUGGAAGGGCCAUCGCUCAACGGAUAAAAGGUACUCCGGGGAUAACAGGCUGAUACCGCCCAAGAGUUCAUAUCGACGGCGGUGUUUGGCACCUCGAUGUCGGCUCAUCACAUCCUGGGGCUGAAGUAGGUCCCAAGGGUAUGGCUGUUCGCCAUUUAAAGUGGUACGCGAGCUGGGUUUAGAACGUCGUGAGACAGUUCGGUCCCUAUCUGCCGUGGGCGCUGGAGAACUGAGGGGGGCUGCUCCUAGUACGAGAGGACCGGAGUGGACGCAUCACUGGUGUUCGGGUUGUCAUGCC